AAGCCUACUUAAUAUAACAAGACCCUGUCUCUACAAAAAAAUAAAAUAAAAUAAAUUAGGCAUGGUGGCAUGUGCCUGUAGUCACAGCUACUGGGAAGGCUGAGGCAGAGGAUGGCUUGAACCCAGGAGUUCAAGGCUGCAGUGAGCCAUAGUCACACCACUGCACUCCAGCCUGAGUGACACAGUGAGAUCCUGUCAACAACAACAACAAUAACAAAACACAAAGAAAAAGACCAGAAACCAGAAAUGCAAUUUGCCAAGCAUAUGAAGAAUAUGUUUUUACUGGUUUUUGAUAACUUAAAAUACUUCUUCAUCUAAAACCAGGCUGAUCUUGAGAAAGAUUUUAAAGGAGAUUAGAAAAUUCACUUUAACAAACCACUAUCAUAUAGUCACAUCAAUCUUUCGUAGAUAUUUUUGCAAACAAUUACCAGAAUUCUUAGAGUUUAUUACAGAUAUUUUGUUCUUGACCUUUGACACUUGCCAUUUAGCAAUUGCAUGGUUUUACUUUUGUGGUUGUAGAGUUUCUGUUUUUCUUUCAUUAGAAUGAUGUAAGUAGAGGAAUAGAAACUGUUAUAUUUGCAAAAAAAGAGCAAAGAUGCUUUGUGACCUUGGGAAUUAUAUUUGAAGGUUACUCACAAGAGAAUACCUUGUUUAGGAAAGAUGGUUAAUUUUUUUCUUGCAAGCAGACUUUUUUACAAAAUUAGUUAAUGGCAAAUGUGUUCUUUGCUGAAUAUUAAUCUAUAGUAUCAUUUAAGAUGUUCUUAAUUUAUGUUUCUGGACUUUGUUUAAAUGUCAAACUCUAGAAAGGGUAAACUAGCUCACCCCACUGCUAGGUAAUAGCUAGUAUUGUCUUCGCUGCAGGGCAUUUUACAGUAAAAUUUUGAAGUAUAUUGAAAAAAGUUACCAGUUCACUUACUAUACAAUAGCUUGGAAUGUGAAUGUCUGAAAGAAGAAAAAUUCAAUAAAUGACUAUGUAGUUAUUUGGUGGAAUUCACAACAUAAUAACAAGAAAAGGUUUUCAGCUUUGAUCAUAAUGGAAAUGAGUCAUUUAAUUUUACCCUCAGUCCUGGUACACAGUUUCAGCACCUGCUAAGAAGUCGGCUUGCAUUUAAAUGACUUAGGCAAUUAUUAAAAGCAAGUUUCAAGAAAUAAAUGGCAUUUAUAUAAAAAGGAGACUGGGCUCAAACUGCUAGUGCUUUAAAUUUCCAUAAAAGCAAAUUCAAGUUCAGAACAGGAUUCAGGAUUUAGUAACAAUUCAAAGGUUUUCAAUCCCUUAAUCUCUUUGUGAUAACUAUAUUCAUCAUGUAGCCAUUUUUAAAAGGAAGAGAAUAAAAAUGUUAACAUUGAUGUCUACCAGCACUUGUGA
rnacentral:lncRNA from 10 species